rnacentral:rRNA from 1 species
UGUGCACUUUUCUCUUAGUAAGACGCCGUGAUCCAUUAGAAAUUGGUAUGUGUCAGCAUACAUUGGGUCAUCAAUAGGCCAAAUAUGAAGUUUCAUCGGAACAAAUGGCACAAUCAUUUUACGGUUGUGUGUAUUGUCUGGGAAGCAUAUUUGUGUAAUUAUCCUGUAAUGACUGUCUGAUGGAUUUUAAGGACCUAUAUCAUUGAUGUCAUUUGGCAUCACUCGUGUGUUCGCGCGCGCGAGAUUAUGUGAUAUGUGUCUGAUCGACGGCGGUUAAAUUUGGGAUACCUUUUGGACCCGUCUUGAAACACGGACCAAGGAGUCUAUCUAGUAUGCAAGUAAAUGGGUAGUCUUAUGAAACCUAUUUGCAGAAAAAACUUGACUGAUUUUUUAGUGGGAUUACAAGAAUUGAUUCUAUAAAAAUUGAUUCUUCUCCAUCCCGGAGUAUUUUCAUCCAACAUGCGUUGUCUUCCUUUAAUCGGGUGAGAUAGCACAUGGAAAAUAUAUCAUGAGCACACUGGAUACGACCCGAAAGAUGGUGAACUAUGCCUGAUCAGGUCGAAGUCAGGGGAAACCCUGAUGGAGGACCGAAGCA